AGGGAUCAUUACCGAGUUUACAACUCCCAAACCCAAUGUGAACCAUACCAAACUGUUGCCUCGGCGGGGUCACGCCCCGGGUGCGUCGCAGCCCCGGAACCAGGCGCCCGCCGGAGGGACCAACCAAACUCUUUUCUGUAGUCCCCUCGCGGACGUUAUUUCUUACAGCUCUGAGCAAAAGUUCAAAAUGAAUCAAAACUUUCAACAACGGAUCUCUUGGUUCUGGCAUCGAUGAAGAACGCAGCGAAAUGCGAUAAGUAAUGUGAAUUGCAGAAUUCAGUGAAUCAUCGAAUCUUUGAACGCACAUUGCGCCCGCCAGUAUUCUGGCGGGCAUGCCUGUCCGAGCGUCAUUUCAACCCUCGAACCCCUCCGGGGGGUCGGCGUUGGGAAUCGGGAACCCCUAAGACGGGAUCCCGGCCCCGAAAUACAGUGGCGGUCUCGCCGCAGCCUCUCCUGCGCAGUAGUUUGCACAACUCGCACCGGGAGCGCGGCGCGUCCACGUCCGUAAAACACCCAACUUCUGAAAUGUUGACCUCGGAUCAGGUAGGAAUACCCGCUGAACUUAA
rnacentral:rRNA from 1 species